rnacentral:rRNA from 1 species
AUCGGUUGAUCGAUUUAGCCAUUCGAGUUAUCGUACUGGGAUUACACCGAGCGAAUCAUAGGAGUCAGUAAAGGCGGAGUCAAUCUGUCACGUGUACUCAGCUAAACUCGUGGACGUGGAUAUCAUCGGGAAUAGGUCAAUUCAUCACGAUGGAUAGUAGGGCCAAAAAUGACUUAUGGUCCUACCAGUUUCUCGCCACAGGAUGGGACUGCGGCCGAUCAGGUUGUUGGCGAGGUAAUGGCCCACCAAGCCGAUAACAGGUACGGGCUUUGAGAGAAGAAGCCCGGAGAUGGACACUGAGACAAGGAUCCAGGUCCUAUGGGGCGCAGCAGGCGAGAAACCUUAGCAAUGUGCGAAAGCGUGACGAGGUCAAUCCGAGUGAUUUCCGAUAAAGAAGUCUUUUGUCAGUCGUAAAUACACAGGUGAAUAAGGGGAGGGCAAGUCUGGUGUCAGCCGCCGCGGUAAUACCAGCUCCUCGAGUGGUCGGGACGAUUAUUGGGCCUAAAGCAUCCGUAGCCGGUUCCGCAAGUCUUCGGUUAAAUCCACCCGCUCAACAGAUGGGCUGCAGAGGAUACCGCAAAGCUAGGAGGCGGGAGAGGCAGACGGUACUCAGUGGGUAGGGGUAAAAUCCUCGAUCCGCGGAAGACCACCAGUGGCGAAGGCGGUCCGCCAGAACGCGCUCGACGGUGAGGGAUGAAAGCUGGGGGAGCGAACCGGAUUAGAUACCCGGGUAGUCCCAGCCGUAAACGAUGCAAACUAGAUGAUUCAUUGGCAAGUGGCCAAUGAAGUGCCGCAGGGAAGCCGUUAAGUUUGCCGCCUGGGGAGUACGGACGCAAGUCUGAAACUUAAAGGAAUUGGCGGGGGAGCACCACAAGGGGUGAAGCCUGCGGUUCAAUUGGACUCAACGCCGGA